UUAUCAGCCUCGUGUUGUAGAGCAUAUGAAGUUGCAAACUUCAAAGAGCAGAAUAUUUCUCUGCCGGGGCUUC
rnacentral:tRNA from 1 species